ensembl:lncRNA
GGGUCAUCGAGUCAGGAAAUACAGGAGAAAUCGAUUUUGAGGUGGAAAUAAUGAGCCCAAUUUUGGAUUUAUCGAAUUUUAAAUGCAGUACCCACACAUCUUCUCUUUUUUCAAAAAAGGAGUUGGAAAAUGGAAGGCGCUUAAGCUGUUUUUCCCUAAAGGAAGAGGGCUGUAAUAAUUAAGAGGUUUGAAAUAUCUCUAUCGCAAAACGCUCACAGUUCAAAAACAAUGAGUCGCCGAGGAUUUCCCCGAGGAACGGUUUCUGCUCUCCACGAACACUGGGAAUUUGUUCCCGCCUUCCUGGUCGCUGCCCGGACCGAGGCAGCUGGCCGCCCGGUCUCAGUCCCGAGCGUUGGGCGUGCUCGGCAGUCCCUUCAUUUCCCGUUACUUAGCAACGUCAGCGUUAACCUCCGCCGGGUAAGCGGAGACAAUGCCCCGGGAAUUUUCACAGGUAUUAAGCAUUUCGCCCCUCACGGCCCUCCUUGGGGGGAAUCCUUUUAUUCUUGGAGAUGGAAGGGAACCGGCCGCGCCCAGCCUGGCUUGUCCCUGGAGCCAACCCCCAGGCAAGGAGGAGGACUCCGGAGGCUCCUGCUCCUGACUCCAGAGGGGACCGCGGUCCGGGACCCCCUCCACUCCCCGACCUCCCCUCCCCCAGCCCCCGGGCGACGCGCGCUUCUGGAGGGGCGCUGGGCUGGGCGGGGACGCGUCACCGGGCGGGGUCGCGGGGCCGAGCGGGGAGCGCGCGGAGCUGGGCGCGGGGGCGGGGGCAGGGGGCGCAGGGCGGGCGCGGAGCUCUGGCGCGGGAGCCCCGGUGACGCACCAGUGACGUCGGCGGCGGCGGGCGGGAUUUCCCGGCCCCUCCCGGGCGCCAGACUAGACCCUGGUGCGGAGUGGGCGCGACCAACGUGGGCGGGAGGAAGCGGGGCCGGGGGGCGCGCGCUCGGCGCCCUCAGGGCAUGGACGUCCUCCUGCAGCCCGGCACGGGGGGCUGAGCGGGCAGAGUACUUGGCGUCCGCUGACUCCGCUCUCAAACUGGGCACCGGCUCGGCCACCUGCGCCCCCUCGGCCUCGCGUCGUCUGUCCUCUGCCCGGGCGGGGAGGCGCGGGGCGGGGCGGGGCUGGUGACGCGGCCCGGAGACCCCGGGGCGGCGCGGGGCGCGAGGCGCGCGUUUGCACCGCGAACCCAUCAGCGGCGAGGCGCGCGGGAGCUGGGGCGCUGAGCCGGAGCCCCCCCGCCCGCCAGCCCCGCGCCCGGAUGAGGAGCGAUGCCGCUCGGUCUGGCCGCCCCCCGCGUGCGCCGCGCCGGAGACAAAGCCCGCGCCUGAGCGGCUCCCUCGGCCCGCGUCCCCGCGCCGGUGACCCUCGAGGCAGGAGCCCUGCAUCGGCCUCUCCUCUGAAGACUGUCGACUGCUGCUGCCGCCAGCCUGUCCCCUGCCCAGGCCUGUCCCUGUGCUGCCUCUUAGCAGGGGCAGCAGAAUGAAAGAGGGCAUGUCCAACAACAGCACCACUAGCAUCUCCCAAGCCAGGAAGGCUGUGGAGCAGCUGAAGAUGGAAGCCUGUAUGGACAGAGUGAAGGUCUCCCAGGCCGCUGCCGACCUCCUGGCGUACUGUGAAGCCCACGUGCGGGAAGACCCCCUCGUCACCCCAGUGCCUGCGUCAGAAAACCCCUUCCGAGAGAAGAAGUUCUUCUGCACCAUUCUCUGACUGUCGGUUAUGAAAAUAUCUCCUUCUCUGUCAGUAAAACCCCUGGUGGAGACCGUGCAUGCUCUUAGCUUUAGGGAGCUCCACCCACACCCAUCCCUGCCCAACCAGGAUCGCUGGGGCCUGUCUCGUCUUCUCAUUGGUUUUCUUCAUUGCAUUCAAUUUCACUUUUCUUUUUGUUUUCAUAGUAUUUUCUUUAUUGGCAAAGCAAAUAGACAUUUUUGUAGCCAAAUAACAAAUGUGCCAAGGAAAGAUAAAUAUGGAUUUAAGCGUUUAAAUUUUUUAAACAUCAAUUCCCAAGUUUAAAUAUAUCAACUUAAUAUAUGUCAGUGGAUAUUUGUUGAAAAGAAAAACUGUACUCAACAACCCCCAUUCACAGUAAUUCAGUACCAAAUUAGAGCAUUUUGACCAACUGAAAUAUAUGGGUAAAUUUCCACCUCCAUGCCUAGAUAAGCAGUUCUGAAAGUUCAUAUUUCCUGCUUUUCCAUCUUCCUACUAGAAAGAAAAGAAACCACAGCAUUGAUGGUUUUCUUAGUGUGUAUCUUCCUGCGGCCAUGUGGCCCAGACCCCACCAAGGGCCCCGGCCUCUGUUUCCCACUGAUUGUCGCUGACCACCUUGGAGGUGGUCCUCCUACAAGUGUAGAUGCUGGGCGGAUACUGAAGCAGGCUUAACUGUAAAUGUACACCGUGACAGCCAUCUGUUUACGUGCUCCAGCUGGCCCGGCCAAGGGUGCCAUCGUCCCUCUCCAUACGCCACCUCUUCCUGCUCCCUCCUAUUCUGGCUCCUCCUCAGUAGUUCUAACAUGGGUUGUGUCAAUAAGGACCCAUUCUGGGCAAAGCACUAGGCCCCGUGGGCUUUCACAGGGUGGCCCCUGUCCCAGAGGAGUGAGGCAUUGGGGCAGCAGCCCACUAGGUGCCAUCUACUGAUCUGAGCAUUGCCACGUAUUCACUUAUUUAAUCCUCCAACAAUAAAUAAAUGCCACGAGAGUACAUCUGUUUUAAAGAGAGGGAAACUGAGGCACAGAAAGGUCCUGUCGUUUCCCCAAAGUUAUAGAUGGUAAGCGGGAAAACGGGGGCUCAGUAGAGGUGGUCUGGCCCAGAGCCCUCCCUGAACCUGUGAGCUACGCUGCCUUCCAGGUCUCCCUGGGUGCAGGUGGGUAGACCCCCAAACGACCUGAACCUCCUGCUGCAAAGCACUGGCCCUGUGGUCCACUGGGCAGCUCGUGUCCCAUCUUCUCCGGGAGGAGGCCUGUUGGUCCGUAUUCUGGCAGCUUAUGGAAGAUGAUCCGUGGAUGCCCCAGUGGAAGGUUAGACAGCUCUUGGUUUUUCUGAGAGAAACUCGCAGGCGCCACCUUAAACAAACUCAGACCACCCCCGAUGAAAGAACAGAAUAAACCAUGGGGGCAGAGAGCUCUUUGUCUAAGUUUGUUCUGCUCCGUUUGUUUGGAAACCCUGUCUCUGGCUCUGACAGCGGCUUGCUGUGUGAUAGAGGGCAAGCCAUUGUGAGCCUGAGAUGCUCUAACCUGCACAUCGGGGAUAAUGGUAAUUCCUCCUCCCGCCUUUCUGUCUAGAGGAUAUCGAGAGGUGCUGCACAGAUGAAAGCUCUGAUUAUCAUUUAAAACAAAUAAAAUGUACUAAAUGCCAAGAUAUAACAUAGGGAAGAAGGCAUGACUUCAAAGUUACCACUGUUCAGUUGGAGGAAUAAUCUGCAAAGAGCCAAAUAUAAUUUCAGAUCAGUUAAUGACUUGCUACCCUUGUAAAUGGUUUUAGUACAUUCUUAUUCUUUGUUUCUUUUGUUGAAACCCAUUUUUAGUUGCAUUAAAGCUCACUGAUAAUAUCAGUGUUGUUAGGAAGCUGUGUGCUCAAACUAUAGGAGAACUGUAUGCUGUACGUGAUAAUACGAUUUCAAAUCCUUCUCUAUUUUGGUUUAUGACCAGCGUCUCUUUAUUCUGUGGUCCAUGUCAACAUCAUUAACCUGAUAAAGCAAAGCACAAUUCAUAAAAGCACAUCAGAGACGCGGAGAAAGUGGGACAGCAUGGAAACGGGCUAUAAAUCAGGUCAAGAAAAAAAUGUUCUUCUAGUCUUCCGCCAGACUUUCUCCCCUGUGUUUUUACUUCUACUGUCCCUCCAUAUUCUGCCUCCCCUUUUUUUCCUCUUUUUCUUUUUCUUCCUCUCUUCCUUACUUUGCUCUGUGAGAUGCUUGUCUUUUACUGUACCUUUUCCUUCCAAACCUAUGGCAUUUCUUAUGGCUUGCCUCUUCUGAAGUGUCCCUGAGCUCAGAGCAGUCUUCUUAAAGACCAGUUUGAGUACAUGGGCUAUGAGAUGCGCCAACGUGUGAAUGAGCCCCGUCCCCCUUCUAGCAAUCAUUGGGAGGUGAAUGAAAUGGAGUGAUCUUGUAGUGGACACUUGUCAUUUUGUGUCUCCAGUUUGGCUAUCCAGCAUCUGACCCCUCUUCCUCUAGGGGGAAAUCACCCCUUACAUAUAAAUUCAGUGGGAUGCAGUAACCCCUUCCACUGUGGAUGCUGAAGUGGGGAGGUCUUCCCUGUCUCUCAGGUGCACCCCCCCUUUCCAGCACCAACCAGCCAGGGAGUGGCCAGUGACCCUGGGUGAACUACUUGGACUCCCCUGCUUGGGAGUGUGAGCUUGGAGCAAGUGACGCAGAAAUGAAGGGAUGCUGAGGUUCAUUUCAUGGGAGCUGCAGUGGUCCAGGGAUGGCAGCGGCCCAGCGGGGGGGGGGGGGGGGGGGUGGGGGUGUCUAGGACUGGUAGGCUGCAGGGAUGGCAUGUCCACUGGUAACAAUGUCCAGGGAUGGCAGUGUCCUGAGAAGACCAUUCCUUGGCCCUACUGAGCUGUCUCAUCCCCGCCCAUCUUUUUAGGUCUUCUUUCUAGCUUUUUCUCAACUCUUUGAGCCUCCAAGCUCCAUCCAAUGAACUCCUUAUUCUUCAAUGAAAUAGCCUGGGUUGAAUGUACUCCAUUCCUAGAUGUAUACCCAACAGAAAUGUGUACAUAUAUUCACCAAAAGAAAUGUGCUAGAAUGUUCAUAGAAGCAUUAAUCAUAAUAACCCAAAACUGGAAACCACCCAAAUGCCCAAAAUGAAUGGAUAAUCAAAUUGUGGUAUAGUCACACUGUGAAAUCCUAUACAGCAAUGAGCACGAAUGAUCCACAGCAUGGGGUGAGACCCGCGAGAUGGGCAAGUACAUACUAUAUGAUUCUGUUUCUAUCAAGUUCGAAACCUGGCUAAGCUAACCUCUGCUGUUGCAAGUAAGAUAUCAGUUACUCUUGAGGGGAUGGUAAGCAGAAGGGGCACAAAGGGAGUUUCUAGGAUGUUCUGUUUCUUGACCUGGUUGCUGGUUAUCUGCGUGUAUUCAGUUUGUGAAAAUUCUUCGAGCUGUUAACUUUCGAUUUGUGCACUUUUCUGUAUGUACGUUGUACUUCAAUAAAGUUGGGUUUUGUGGCUAGCAAUCAAGAA